UACGGAGGAUGCGAGCGUUAUCCGGAUUUAUUGGGUUUAAAGGGUGCGCAGGCGGAGGUGCAAGUCAGCGGUCAAAUUGCGGGGCUCAACCCCAUCCAGCCGUUGAAACUGGGGAUCUAGAGUGUGCGAGAGGUAUGCGGAAUGCGUGGUGUAGCGGUGAAAUGCAUAGAUAUCACGCAGAACUCCGAUCGCGAAGGCAGCCUACCGGCGCGCAACUGACGCUCAUGCACGAAAGCGUGGGUAUCGAACAGG
rnacentral:rRNA from 1 species